AUAUGUUACACAUCAUUAUUCCCGAUAGGGAUUCAAUUUAAUUGAAUGUUGCCUUGUAACCAAUAUAUAAAUGGGGGAAAAUACAUUG
rnacentral:sRNA from 2 species